rnacentral:rRNA from 1 species
UACGGAGGGUGCAAGCGUUAUCCGGAUUCACUGGGUUUAAAGGGAGCGCAGGCGGAUUUGUAAGUCAGUGGUGAAAGGCUUAAGCUUAACUUGGGAACUGCCAUUGAUACUAUAAGUCUUGAAUGUUGUUGAGGUUUGCGGAAUGGGUCAUGUAGCGGUGAAAUGCAUAGAUAUGACCCGGAACACCUAUUGCGAAGGCAACAGGCUAAACAAAUAUUGACGCUGAGGCUCGAAAGCGUGGGGAUCAAACAGG